UAUUAAUUUAUUUAGUAUAUCUGUUUUGGAAAAAAGUGUAAUGAGUUCCAGCCCAUUUAUAAAUUUUUUUGCAAUAUUCAGAUCUGAACAUUUAGAAUUAACAACAGCCGAUGCAGUAAAAGCAGUAGCAGAUGUGUGGUAUGCUAUGAGCCCCGAAGAAAAGGAACAAUAUCGUCUUCCUUCAAAAGUUGAGAAACCUGAGAAAAAAUUCAAAGCUUUGAAGACAAUACCUGAUAAUACCUUUAAGAAUAUCUUUAAUCAUAUUUUAACUACGGAAACAGAACAAGAGAGCAAGAGUGCGGAUAGUAGUGUAUCUAGUAUAUCUUUCGAUUCUUUUUAAAGGAAACAAGAAAGUCAACACUUUUCUUGCUCCAAUUUAAAGAAGAGCAUCAAAAAGGUAUUGGUUUUAUGGGCUAAUAAGUUCUGUACUAUAUGUGCCGCAAAAAAAUCUGAUAAAUUGAAUCUAUAUAUAUUAUUUUGGUAGUAUCAGAGUUAGUGAACUAAGCAAAAUUUCAAAACAGAGCAAAAUUAUCCGAGGAGAACAGAUCAAAAUUCCUUCGCAAUUAGCUUACAAAAUUAUCAAAUAAAAUUCUAAAAUUCAUCGGACAAGACUAUGCCGACCAACAACUUUUUCAAUUUUUUAGCAAAAUUUCGGAAGAUGAAUACUGGUUUAACUUGUGUCGAAGUCGCAAAGGCAGCUGGAUCUGUUUGGCGGAAAAUGUCAUGUGAAGAAAAGGAAGAAUAUUCACCGGAAGGGGGAGCGUCACAAAUUUCCGAAAAAAUCAAAGAAGUUCCGAAAAGGCGAAGUAAAAUAAAAUAUAAAAAGAAAGCACCCAUUACAAUGGAAGCGGAAGAUGAUGAAUCUACUCUUUACUUGAUUUGUGAUAGAUGUAAAAGACCAAUGCGACCAAGUAAAGCAGGUAAAAGUAAGGCAAAAGGCAAACCAUGUAAGUCCAAGAGAAAGCCACCCGCAAAGAAGUGUGCAAAAAAAGCUCCAAAAAAGAAGCGUAAAAAAUGCAAGAAGUGAAAAUCUUUCUCAACACUUAAUAUUUUUCUUUUCUGAAUUUGUCCCUGAAAUACUUAAACUGAGACCACUGCCAAGACCCCAGCUAUUCGAUACUAAGGCACCAGCUAUUCAUCCAGACAUAUCCAGUAAUAAUGAUGUUUUGUCAAACCUCCCAUUUUUCGUAUCAUAAAAGUCUAUCUUAUGGACCCAAGAAACCAAGACCAUUAAGACAAUAUUAAUUGUAAUGUUAAAGUUAUUUAAAGAAACGAAUCAACAUAAUGUUAUCAAAUUAUAUAUUUGAUAAAAAAAAAUUAUAUGGUGUAACAUAAGGAAACUCUUUCAUAUCAUAAAAGCCUGUCUUAUGGACUCAAGAAACCAAGACCAUUAAGACAAUAUUAAUUGUAAUGUCAAAGUUAUUUAAAGGAAGCAAUCAACAUAAUGUUAUCAAAUUAUAUAUUUUGUAAAAAAAAAUUAUAUGGUGUAACACAAGGAAACUCUUUCAUAUCAUAAAAGCCUGUCUUAUGGACCCAAGAAACCAAGACCAUUAAGACAAUACUAAUUGUAAUGUCAAAGUUAUUUAAAGGAAGCAAUCAACAUAAUGUUAUCAAAUUAUAUAUUUUGUAAAAAAAAAAAUUAUGUGGA